AAUUAAGUAAUUAAGUGCAUAUGACGGAUGCCUAGGCAAUAGGAGGCGAUGAAGGACGUGUAAGUCUGCGAUAAGCUUCGGGGAGCUGACAAAAAGCUUUGAUCCGGAGAUUUCCGAAUGGGGAAACCCACCUUGCUUGCAAGGUAUCAUAUUCUGAAUACAUAGGAAUAUGAAGCGAACCAGGGGAACUGAAACAUCUAAGUACCCUGAGGAAAAGAAAUCAACCGAGAUUCUGUUAGUAGCGGCGAGCGAAAGCGGAACAGCCCUGCAACCAUCAAAUCAGUAUCGUUAGAAAAAUAGUCUGGAAAGGCUGACCGUAGAGGGUGAUAGUCCCGUAUUCGAAAACCAUGCUGAUGGGGUUGCGAUGAGUAGGUCGGAACACGAGAAAUUCUGACUGAACAUGGGGGGACCAUCCUCCAAGGCUAAAUACUACCUAUUGACCGAUAGUGAACUAGUACCGUGAGGGAAAGGUGAAAAGAACCCCUGUUAGGGGAGUGAAAUAGAAUCUGAAAUCAUAUGCAUACAAGCAGUGGGAGCACGAUUUAGACGUGUGACUGCGUACCUUUUGUAUAAUGGGUCAGCGACUUAUUUGUACUGGCAAGCUUAACUUUGUCAGGUAGGCGUAGAGAAAUCGAGUCUUAAUAGGGCGCCUAGUCAGUACAUUUAGACCCGAAACCGGGCGAUCUAUCCAUGGCCAGGGUGAAAAUUAGGUAACACUAAUCGGAGGCCCGAACCCGUAGAUGUUGAAAAAUCUUGGGAUGAGCUGUGGAUAGGAGUGAAAGGCUAAUCAAGCCCGGAGAUAGCUGGUUCUCCCCGAAAACUAUUUAGGUAGUGCCUCGUAUUUUAAUUCUCAGGGGUAGAGCACUGUUUCGGCUAGGGGGUAGUAAAUACUUACCAAACCGAUGCAAACUCCGAAUACUGAGUUGUACAAUACGGGAGACACACUAUGGGUGAUAAGGUCCAUAGUGGAGAGGGAAACAGCCCAGAUCACCAGCUAAGGUCCCUAAAUCAUAGUUAAGUGGAAAACGUGGUGGAAAGGCAUAGACAGCCAGGAGGUUGGCUUGGAAGCAGCCACCCUUUAAAGAAAGCGUAAUAGCUCACUGGUCAAGUCUUUCUGCGCGGAAGAUGUAACGGGGCUUAAACUAUGUACCGAAGCUGUGAAGUUAGUUUUUACUAACUGGUAGGGGAGCGUUCUGUAAGCCGUUGAAGGUGAAUCGUGAGGUUUGCUGGAGGUAUCAGAAGUGAGAAUGCUGACAUGAGUAACGAUAAUAUGAGUGAAAAACUUAUACGCCGAAAGUCUAAGGUUUCCUUGCGCAACGUUAAUCGACGCAGGGUUAGUCGGCCCCUAAGGCGAGGCAGAAAUGCGUAGUCGAUGGGAAACAGGUUAAUAUUCCUGUACUUUGCAAUAUUGCGAUGGGAGGACGGAGAAGGUUAGACCAGCCGAGUGAUGGUUAUCUCGGUUUAAGCAUGUAGGAGUGAAGCUUUGGAAAAUCCGGGCUUCUUUAACUCUGAGGUGUUAUGACGAUCACAUCAAGCUUGCUUGUUGUGAGAAGUGGUUCAUACCAUGCUUCCAAGAAAAGUCCCUAAGCUUCAGAUAUUGUGGAACCGUACCGCAAACCGACACAGGUAGACAGGUAGAGAAUACCAAGGCGCUUGAGAGAACUCUGGUGAAGGAACUCGGCAAAAUGACACCGUAACUUCGGGAGAAGGUGUGCCGUUGGUUGUGAACGAACUUGCUUCAGGAGCGACUGACGGUUGCAAUGAAAUGGUGGCUGAGACUGUUUAGCAAAAACAUAGCACUCUGCAAACACGAAAGUGGACGUAUAGGGUGUGACGCCUGCCCAAUGCCGGAAGGUUAAAUGAUGAGGUUAGCGUAAGCGAAGCUUUUGAUUGAAGCCCCGGUGAAUGGCGGCCGUAAAUUUAACGGUCCUAAGGUAGCGAAAUUCCUUGUCGGGUAAGUUCCGACCUGCACGAAUGGCGUAACGAUGGCCACACUGUCUCCACCAGAGACUCAGUGAAAUUGAAAUUGCUGUUAAGAUGCAGUGUACCCGCGGCAAGACGGAUAGACCCCGUGCACCUUUACUAUAGCUUUAUACUGAAUUUUGGUUGUAUAUGUGCAGAAUAGGUGGGAGGCUUUGAUGUAAUCACGCCAGUGAUUGCGGAGCCAUCUUUGAGAUACCACUCUUGUACAGCUGAAGUUCUAACCUAGGUCCGUUAUCCGGAUCAGGGACAGUGUAUGGUGGGUAGUUUGACUGGGGCGGUCUCCUCCUAAAAGGUAACGGAGGAGCGCAAUGGUACCCUCAGCGCGGUCAGAAAUCGCGCAUUGAGUGUAAAGAUAGAUGGGUGCUUGACUGUGAGACUGACAAGUCGAGCAGGUACGAAAGUAGGCCUUAGUGAUCCGGUGGUUCUGUAUGGAAGGGCCAUCGCUCAACGAAUAAAAGGUACGCCGGGGAUAACAGGCUGAUACCGCCCAAGAGUUCACAUCGACGGCGGUGUUUGGCACCUCGAUGUCGGCUCAUCACAUCCUGGGGCCGUAGUUGGUCCCAAGGGUAUGGCUGUUCGCCAUUUAAAGUGGUACGUGAGCUGGGUUCAGAACGUCGUGAGACAGUUCGGUCCCUAUCUGCCGUGGGCGUUGGAAAUUUGAAGGUAGCUGCUCCUAGUACGCAAGGACCGGAGUGGACGUACCGCUGGUGUACCGGUUGUCAUACCAAUGGCAUCGCCGGGUAGCUAAGUACGGACGGGAUAACCGCUGAAAGCAUAUAAGCGGGAAGCCUCACCUAAGAUAAGAUUUCCCUCUGGUCUUCGGACCAGACUUAAGGUUUGUUGUAGAUGACAACGUUGAUAGGCUGGGUGUGGAAGUGCAGUAAUGCAUGAAGCUAACCAGUACUAAUUAACCGUGUGGCUUAAUUAC
rnacentral:rRNA from 1 species